GGCUUAAUUAACAUGUAUUGAUUGUAGUCCUGAGUGCAUCUAUAGGUGGGUGGACUGUGUUGGGAGAAAUCCUCCUCAGAGAUGAAGAUUUGCUGAUAGCAUUCUGAAUAAUUGUCUUGUGAAGAGACAGAAGUCUUUGCUGUUUUCUCUGCAGAAAGCUUUAAACAAAAGGUAUUGUUUAUAAUUAAGGCAAAAAUUUGGCAGGGCCGCUUUAUAGAUGGGAAGAGAGUUCUGCUGCAAAAAUAUUAAUGAAUUGACUCAUUAAUUAGGUGAACAAAGAAGAGAGAAAAUUGGAGGAGAGUUGGAGCAAAUAAGGAAGCGGAUGCAACCGGAAACUUUUUUUGGGGAUAAGAAGAUCAGGAUGUCACCCACAAAGCUCUGUGGAAAUGGGAGAUGGCUCCAGAGGCGCAAGACACAAGUUCAGGGGCAAAUGGAAAUGAGGGAUGAAGAACAUUUUCCCUUUGAGCAAUCCCAGACUGGAAAAGCGGGAAGGUGUAUUGGCUGGAAAAUUGCAAUGCCUCCCCAAAAUUUAAUAGCUGCCCUGGGUGCUUGGCUUCUGGGCAUGGCCAGGGAAACAGAUACCACUUGCAGGACUUCAGCUCUUUGUCAGAGGGCAGAGGAAGAGGAAGAAAGCAGUGCAGAGAUGUUCACUUGCUGGCUCAAGGAAUGAGCAUCCAUCAUGUGGUGGCCUUUGGUCCUGAGCCCUUCGAAGGCAAAACCCACUUCCUAAGCCAUCCCAGCAGGGUUCAGUGCAGUUUUGUGAGGCUCUCCCUGUGGCAUCCAGGGCAGCAUCUCAAAUGGGAGCGUGCAGGAAUGAACCAGGCAUCACUGCUGCUGCUGAGUGUGAGCAAGUUGUUCUAAUGUACUUAUCUCCUGUUUCUGUAAAGGUUAUAGAAGUAAAUAAUCUUGCUCUAACACAGUGUCCUUGCAGUCCCUGCCUAGCUCCAUGGAUAACUCUUCCUGAGGCUGACUUGAGGUGAUUAAUACUCUACAAAAGGGAAUUAUUUUUUUAAAAGGGAGCAAGGAAGUAAAGCUUGAAGAUGCUUCAUGCCCCCUGUGCUUGAGACAGAUUAGUUUUAGUUUCUUCCUCCAGCUGGAGGGAGCUGGUGAAAUGUGUUCCCUCCUGCCCUGUGAUGUUGAUCCCUGGCACUGUGAGGAUUAGCAAGUGGCCAAAAGCAUCAGGAGGUGACUUUGCUCUGCCACAGGAUCCCUCCUGGCAGGCCUGGGCUGCCCAGGGGAAGCUGCCAGCACCCUGUGGACCAGGUGAGCAGCAUCAAGCUUCUUUCUGUGGGCUGGGGAGUUUGGAGGGGGGCUGGGGAGGGAAUGUGAGCUGGGCAGGAGAGGCUGAAGUGUCUCACCCCUACCUUGCUGGCGCUUGUGCUGUGCUGAGUUCACGCUGAUGCCUCUCCUGUCUCUGUAAUGGGUUUGUCAGCACUCUGCAGAGACCUGUGCUGGGUAGUGCCUUGGGCUAUAGCCAAGGACUGGGAGGCCACUGGGAAAUAGGCUGGUGCUGCCCAAGGUUUCCCUGAACAGUGUGGCAGGGCACCAAGUACACGUAACCCAGCAGCCAGUUUGAAACAUUGAGAUUAAUGAGAACUGCCCCUUUUCCCUGAAUAUUCUCAGUAUUGCACCCUUCUCCAUCCAUCCCAUAUGCUUGAACUACCUUGGGAUAGCCUGGGAUUGCAGUUCUGCAUUCCCUCCUUUUCCAGGAACGUUUUGUCUUCGUGGAGCACAAAGGUUGCCCUGAGCCACCCAGCUCUGUGCUCC
rnacentral:lncRNA from 12 species